AUGCACAGCACAAUGAUGAUGUCUCUGACUCUACUGCUGGCCACCCUGGGCCUCCUUGUUCAGGAUUCAUCAGGAGAAAUCAUCCUGACUCAGUCUCCUGGAUCUCAAUCUGUUGUUCCAGGACAAACUGUCUCUAUCAAAUGUAAAACCAGUUCAGAUGCUAGCAGCUACCUCAACUGGUACCUUCAGAAACCUGGAGAAGCUCCUAAACUCCUGAUUUAUUAUGCUACAACCCUUCAGUCUGGAGUUUCAGAUCGUUUUAGUGGAAGUGGAUCUGGGUCUGAUUUCACUCUGACCAUCAGUAGAGUUCAGGCUGAAGAUUCAGGAGUUUACUACUGUCAGCAGAGUGACAGCAGCCCGCUCACACAGUGAUACAACGUCGUACAAAAACCUCCCUCAGCUGCAGAGGAACUGAUCUGAAUCAACAGCUGCACUGAAACAAAAACAGGAGA